AUUGAACGCUGGCGGCAGGCCUAACACAUGCAAGUCGAACGAGUGGCGGACGGGUGAGUAAUGUCUUGGAAACUGCCUGAUGGAGGGGGAUAACUAAUGGAAAGGGUAGCUAAUACCGCAUACCAUCAGAUGUGCCCAGAUGGGAUUAGCUUGUUGGUGGGGUAAAGGCUCACCAAGGCGACGAUCCUUAGCUGGUCUGAGAGGAUGACCAGCCACACUGGAACUGAGACACGGCCCAGACUCCUACGGGAGGCAGCAGUGGGGAAUAUUGCACAAUGGGCGCAAGCCUGAUGCAGCCAUGCCGCGUGUAUGAAGAAGGCCUUCGGGUUGUAAAGUACUUUCAGCGGGGAGGCGGUACCCGCAGAAGAAGCACCGGCUAACUCCGUGCCAGCAGCCGCGGUAAUUC
rnacentral:rRNA from 1 species